GGUUCUGUGGUGUAAUGGUUAGCACGCAGAGUUGCUUCACGAUAGUAUCUGCUGGUACUGAAGUUUAUCUGGAAAGGUCCCAGUUCGACUCUGCGCAGAACCG